CGUGACGUAGCUCAACAGGAAGAGCGCCCUGCAUUCUGAGACAGGCGGUUAUGGGUUCGACUCCCGUCGUCACGA
rnacentral:tRNA from 2 species